UACGGGGGGAGCAAGCGUUGUUCGGAUUUACUGGGCGUAAAGGGCGCGUAGGCGGUCAGCACAAGUCAGUUGUGAAAUCUCCGGGCUUAACUCGGAAAGGUCAACUGAUACUGUGCGACUAGAGUGCAGAAGGGGCAACUGGAAUUCUCGGUGUAGCGGUGAAAUGCGCAGAUAUCAGGAGGAACACCGGUGGCGAAGGCGGGUCUCUGGGCCGUAACUGACGCUGAGGAGCGAAAGCGUGGGGAGCAAACAGG
rnacentral:rRNA from 1 species